AAUUUGAAAUCUGGCCCCUUCGGGGUCCGAGUUGUAAUUUGUAGAGAGCGCUUCGGGCGAGGUCGCGGUCUAAGUCCAUUGGAACAUGGCGUCGUAGAGGGUGAGAAUCCCGUAUGCGACCGUGGACCGAGCCCAUGUGAAGCCUCUUCGACGAGUCGAGUUGUUUGGGAAUGCAGCUCAAAAUGGGUGGUAUAUUUCAUCUAAAGCUAAAUAUUGGCUGGAGACCGAUAGCGCACAAGUAGAGUGAUCGAAAGAUGAAAAGCACUUUGGAAAGAGAGUCAAACAGUACGUGAAAUUGUUGAAAGGGAAGCGCUUGCAACCAGACCUGCCCGGGGGCGAUCAGCCGCUGUUCUCAGCGGUGCACUCGUUCCCCGAUCAGGCCAGCAUCGGUUCCGGCGGUCGGACAAAGGUCCCGGGAAUGUAGCUCCCCUUGGGGAGUCUUAUAGCCCGGGGCGCAAUGCGGCCAGCCGGGACCGAGGACCGCGCUUCGGCUAGGAUGCUGGCGUAAUGGUUGUCAGCGACCC
rnacentral:rRNA from 1 species